UGGCGUGUUCUUUAGCUAGUGAAAAUAAAUUUAUGCUGCAUUUGAAAUGAAAUGAAUUUUUUGAGGGGAACCAUUUUGGGGAGAAAAUUUAUUUAGAAUAAACAAUAUUCUUUGAAGAUAGAAAUGAUUGAAUUUUUGAGUCUAGCUUAGGCUGUGUUGGCACUGAAGCUUCCCCUCCAGUUUUUCUCAGCAGUUAUCUAGUGAGAUGACCUAUUGGCAUAAGUGUAUAACUUAGUAACCACCAGUCAUUCUGCUGAAGAUAUAAUCAUUGCAGUGAACAUUUAUGAGCACUUGCUUUGAAGCAAAGCCUGUUCCAAGUGCUUUUCAUGAGUUGUGCUAUUUAGCCUUCAAAAUGACCUGAUGGUGUGCUUAUAGUUACCAUCCCAUUUUGUGGAUAAGGAGAAAAAGGUAUAGAGAGGUGAGUAAACUGCUUGUUGUCACCUAGCAAGCUAGUAUGUAAACCUAGGAAUUGUGACUCCAGAUCUAUACUUUUAACCCUGAUGCUGUAUUACCAUCCUUCAAAAGAAAGUGGCCUGUUUCAUUGGUCUUUAAGUGACCUCUUCUUUUUUGGAAUCACUAACCUAUCGACCUACGAACUGGUCAACAACUAACUGGUCAACCAGCCUGCAAAUGACAAUGACAGUUUUCCUUACCUCAUUACGAAAAGGCAGACCAGAAGAAAUCAUUUCCUGGAAACAAUUAGAGAAAGCAAUACCUAAAUACCUGAGAAGCAGUUGCUUUUUCCAUUCCAGCAAGAAAGAAAGCUAAUGAGGAAAAUAGUAUUUGCCUUGAAGUAAGUUUUCCUUGAUUUUCCAUCUCAUUUUAAAGAAAAAAGCAAAAAGAUUUCUAUAAAAGAGGCACAUAUGAAAAUACCUUAAGGAUGCGGAAUGGCUUAAUUAGGAGUCACUGUUAUUUUCUUUUAUUGAUUUCAAUUGGGAUAUAGAUCAUUAGUUUUCUAUUAGUUUUUUUUAUUAUCGUCGUAUGGCUUUAUAAAGUAAUACUAUUAAACUAAUGUUCUACAACAUAAAGGGGAAUUGGUUUAUUGUGGCUUUUAAUGUUUCUAGAAAGAUUAAUUUUUGUAUAACGAUUAUUUUACUUCUUAAUACUGCUAUGACUUGAAAAGAUAUAGAACCUGAUGAGUACAAAUCCAUCUUGGCUAUAAGCCUAGUUUUAUGUUAUCAUGUAAAAAAGAAAAUUUGCUUCAAAUUCUUUGCUUUUUCAUGCAUUUUUUUUGUUGUUCAAUUGCUGUUAUAAAUACUAUGAAUGGCCAUUAUUGAGAGUUCAGGAAUUUUUUUCCCCCUUAAAUAUGAAGAUAGACCAAAGGUAAGGUUCCUAUAUUGUCAAGGAGCCAAUCACUGCAUUGAUUUAUCUUUGCCACUAGAUGUCCCUGUAUUGAUGCGCCUUCUACUUCAGAAGCUUCUUUGAAAACAAACUAACAAAAUCAGAGAUGUUUGCUACUCUUCAAGUCUUUUUCCUUCCUCUAAGUUAGCAACCUGGGACUUCCCAGAUACGAUCCUCUUCUUUCCAGAGGAUUAAUUCCUUAGGACUGGACAGGAAUGGAAUUAAGCGAAAUGCAAGUUAAAUUAGGUUUAGGCGUUGGCCUAAAUAUAUGCCUCUAUUAACUACUCAGCCUAGAAAAUGUGAGAAGCUGUAUAAUUUAGAUCGACAGAAUUUUAAACAUGCUAAAAUGAGUAGGGGCUUGAAUUUGAAUUACAUAAUCAAAAUGGCAGAUAAUUUAAAGUUAUAUUUGGUAAUAAAACAGUUUGUAUUUAUAUUUUUUAAAAUUUUAGGUUCAGUGGUACAUGUGCAGGUUUGUUAUAUAGGUGAACUUGUGUCAGGGGGUUUGUUGUACAGAUUAUUUCAUCACCCAGGUAUUAAGCCCAGCAGUCAAUAGUUUUCUUCUCUGCUCUUCUCCCUCCUCCCAUCCUCCACUCUCAAGUAGGCACCAGUGUCUGUUGUUCCCUUCUUUGUGUUCAUGAGUUCUCAUCAUUUAGCUUCCACUUAUAAGUGAGAACAUGCAGCAUUUGGUUUUCUGUUCCUGCAUUAGUCUGCUAAGGAUAAUAGCCUCCAGCUCCAUCCAUAUUCCCUCAAAAGACAUGAUCUUGUUCUUUCUUAUGGCUGCAUAGUAUUUAUGUUUUGAAUAUGAGAAUGUUUGGUGUUAUGGGAAUGAAUGAAAAUUUCAGUAAUAGACUCAUACAGAUAAUAUUGAUCUUCAAGGAAAUUUGUAGUUGUUGAAAUCUCUUACGCAGCUUCUUACUUCAAUACUCUUCACUGUUUUCCAUACUUGACGAAGAUUGACCAUGUCAGCUUCCAGAAAAAUGUGACAAGAUAGCUUUACCUGAGCUAAUUUCUUUAUAAGUUUGAUUGUUGACUCUUAGUUUACCUACAAAAGAGGAGAUAACUGAAUGUUUUGAUUCAAAAUGUCUCUUGUUCAAUUUUAGGUUGUACAGAGUCAUAAUGUUGGAUUGGAAUAACAAUAAAAUAAAUAUCUUUUUAUACUCUUUUGAAAUUAUUGGACUCAAUACAUUUUUAGUAGUAAACUACAAUGUUAAUAAUACAAAUGGUAACCCAUUUAAAAUCUGAAUUGAUUAAAAACUUUGGGGACAAUAAUUAUGUAUUAUAAUAGAUCAUUUAAAAAAUAUUAGACCCUGUAUUUAAAAUAGGCAUUCAUUUAUCAAUUGGAUAUAUUAUAUCUGAUUUUGUGGUUAAAUAAUCUUUUCUCUUAUAAUAUUGAUUUAGUCUUUCAUGGCAUGUUACUUAUUAUACCUCAACAUAGGGACAAUAUAGGGACAUAAAAGUAUAAGUUAAUGUCAAAUAACCACAAUUAAUGUAACUUUAAAAAUCUACAAAUAAAAAUAAUCUAUGUUUCGGA